rnacentral:rRNA from 1 species
AUUGAACGCUGGCGGCAGGCCUAACACAUGCAAGUCGAGCGAGCGGCGGACGUGUGAGUAAUGUUUGGGAAACUGCCUGCUGGAUUGCGGUAACUACUGGAAACGGUAGCUAAUCCCCCAUACCAUCAGAUGUGCCCAGAUGGGAUUCGCUAGUAGGUGGGGGAAUGCCUCACCUAGGCUACGAACGCUAGCUGGUCUGAGAGGAUGACCAGCAACACUGUACCUGAAACACGGUCCGGACUCCUACGGGCGGCGGCAGUUGGGAAUAUUGCACGAUGGGCGCAAGCCUGAUGCAGCCAUGCCGCUUGUGUUAAGAAGUCCUUCGGGUUGUAGAGCACUUUCAGCGGGGGGGCGUUAGCCGCAGAAGAAGCACGGGCUAACUCCGUGCCAGCAGCCGCGGUAAUAG